UAACACGUAUCCAACCUGCCGAUGACUCGGGGAUAGCCUUUCGAAAGAAAGAUUAAUACCCGAUGGCAUAGUUCUUCCGCAUGGUAGAACUAUUAAAGAAUUUCGGUCAUCGAUGGGGAUGCGUUCCAUUAGGUUGUUGGCGGGGUAACGGCCCACCAAGCCUUCGAUGGAUAGGGGUUCUGAGAGGAAGGUCCCCCACAUUGGAACUGAGACACGGUCCAAACUCCUACGGGAGGCAGCAGUGAGGAAUAUUGGUCAAUGGACGAGAGUCUGAACCAGCCAAGUAGCGUGAAGGAUGACUGCCCUAUGGGUUGUAAACUUCUUUUAUACGGGAAUAAAGUGAGGCACGUGUGCCUUUUUGUAUGUACCGUAUGAAUAAGGAUCGGCUAACUCCGUGCCAGCAGCCGCGGUAAUACGGAGGAUCCGAGCGUUAUCCGGAUUUAUUGGGUUUAAAGGGAGCGUAGGCGGACGCUUAAGUCAGUUGUGAAAGUUUGCGGCUCAACCGUAAAAUUGCAGUUGAUACUGGGUGUCUUGAGUACAGUAGAGGCAGGCGGAAUUCGUGGUGUAGCGGUGAAAUGCUUAGAUAUCACGGAGAACUCCGAUUGCGAAGGCAGCCUGCUGGACUGUAACUGACGCUGAUGCUCGAAAGUGUGGGUAUCAAACAGGAUUAGAUACCCUGGUAGUCCACACAGUAAACGAUGAAUACUCGCUGU
rnacentral:rRNA from 1 species